AUAAUAAUGUGGCAGGGGAGUUACCAUGAUCACAAAAGUGGUUUUUUUUUUUCUAAGAUGAGCUCUCCAGACGUUCUGAUCCCUAUGAUUUCCUCCAAUGCAGAAAACUCUGCUGCAUAAUUGCUUUAUCGC
rnacentral:snRNA from 14 species